UAGACAGAUUAUUGUAUUCGACUGUAUUCACAGCGUGAAAUAGGAAAUUACACUGUUUUUAAAACGGAAAGUGAAUCAAUUAACAUAAUAGACUCCU
rfam:Nicotiana attenuata strain TT chromosome 2, whole genome shotgun sequence.